rnacentral:rRNA from 1 species
AAAGGAAAAAAUUAAUUAAUAAAGUGAAAUUAUUUUAAUAAAAGUAAUUUUAAUAGUAAUAUAUAGUAUUAUGUAAGGAAAUAUAUUAAUUUUAAUUAUUUAUAGUGAAUUAGUACUGUGAAGGGAUUAUGAAAUAUAUUUGAAAUAUUUGUUUUAUUAAAAGUAGAGUUUAAAUUCUUGUACCUUGUGUCUCAGGGUUUAUUAAGAAAUAUUAUUUAUAUAUAAGUAUCCCGAAUUGGAAAGAGCGAUAUUUAUAAGUUAGUUAAUGUUACAUAAUUAUUAAUAAUUUAAAUAUUGUAAUGAAAUGUUAGUCGUUUUUUAUGAUAUCUGGUUUUCUAAGAAACAAAUUGAAUUUGAUUUAUUUUAUGUAAUUUUUAAUGUUUAUAAUAAUUUAUAUAAUAUGAUUUAAAUUUUUCGGGAUAAGCUGAGAAAUUAAUUGAUUAUAAAUUUGUAAUAUAUUUAUUUUUUAAUAGGCUUUAAAUUAGCUUUUUAUAUAAAAUUGUUAUAAAUUAAUUUGUUUAUAAAUAUGAUUUUUAUUUAAUUUUAAUUAGUUUAUUAGAAUAAAUUAUUUAAUAAUUUGAAUAUUUGGAAUUAUGAUGAAAUGAGUAUAAAUAUAUAAUGUGAUCAAAUUAUUUUAUUAUAUAAUAAUUAAAAUUUAAGGAAUUCGGCAACAAUUUAUUCAUAUGUUUAUCAAAAACAUUUCUUUUUGAAUUUAUAAAAAGUAAGGCCUGCCCACUGAUGUUUUAAAGGGCCGCGGUACUUUGACCGUGCAAAGGUAGCAAAAUCAUUAGUCUUUUAAUUGAAGGCUGGAAUGAACGGUUUAAUGAAAUAAAUGCUGUCUCAAAUUUAUAGAUUUGAAGUUAACUUUUUAGUAAGAAGGCUAUAAAUACUUAUAAAGGACGAGAAGACCCUAUAGAGUUUUAUUUAAUAUAUAUUUAGUUUAUAUUUAGAUGUAAUAAUAAAUUGAUUAUUUAUUAUAAUUUGUUGGGGUGACAUGAAGAAUUAAUAAACUCUUUAUUUAUGUUAAACAUAGAUUAAUGGUUAAUUGAUCCAUUAUUAUUGAUUAAGAGAUUAAAUUACCUUAGGGAUAACAGCGUAAUUUUUUUUGAGAGUUCUUAUCGACAAAAAAGAUUGCGACCUCGAUGUUGGAUUAAGAAUAUUAUUAGGUGUAGCAGCUUAAUAAAUAAGUCUGUUCGACUUUUGAAUUCUUACAUGAUCUGAGUUCAGACCGGCGUGAGCCAGGUUGGUUUCUAUCCUUAUUAAAAUAUAAAAUCUUAGUACGAGAGGACCAGAUUUUAGAAAUAAUUUUAAUUAAUGGGAAUAUCAUUAAAAUUAU